rnacentral:rRNA from 1 species
GGACCAAGGAGUCUAGCAUGUGCGCGAGUCAUUGGGACUCUAACUAAACCUAAAGGCGCAAUGAAAGUGAAGGUCCGCCGUGCGCGGACCGAGGGAGGAUGGACGGUCUCGAGGGACCGCCCCGCACUCCCGGGGCGUCUCGUUCUCAAUUACGAGAAGAGGCGCACCCAGAGCGUACACGCUGGGACCCGAAAGAUGGUGAACUAUGCCUGGUCAGGACGAAGUCAGGGGAAACCCUGAUGGAGGUCCGUAGCGAUUCUGACGUGCAAAUCGAUCGUCGGAACUGGGUAUAGGGGCGAAAGACUAAUCGAACCAUCUAGUAGCUGGUUCCCUCCGAAGUUUCCCUCAGGAUAGCUGGCGCUCGCUUCUCGCGAGUCUCAUUCGGUAAAGCGAAUGAUUAGAGGCAUUGGGGUCGAAACGGCCUCAACCUAUUCUCAAACUUUAAAUGGGUGAGAUCUCCGGCUUGCUUGAACUGUGAAGCCGCGAGAUAUCGGAUCAGAGUGCCAAGUGGGCCACUUUUGGUAAGCAGAACUGGCGCUGUGGGAUGAACCAAACGCCGAGUUAAAGCGCCUAAAUCGACGCUUAUGGGAUACCAUGAAAGGCGUUGGUAACUUAAGACAGCAGGACGGUGGCCAUGGAAGUCGGA